UCUUUAACGUUUGUACGCCACGACCGAACGCACGGCGAAGCUCUCAGUCGCGCGUUGUUCGCCCGUGCCCGUCGCCGUCGUUGUUGCCGUCGCGCCACCGAUCUCGUUUCGAUAUAAUAUUAUUGUCACGCGUAUAACUUUCCGAUUUGGUUCGUUCCCUCGCUAACUCUGUCUCUCUCGAUUUCGCUAGUUCUCACACACUCUAUCUCUUUCCUUCUCUCUCUCACCCCUCUCUCCGUCUCCUCCUCUCCCCCCCUCCAACUUUAUCGCCGUUUGGCGGUUUUUUUUAUCGACACUGCUGGACACCAAUAUAUGGAUUCGCAGAAAUGAAUAACGAGGACGAGGUGCAAAGAGUUUUCAGGGGUGAGUUGGAUACGGCGGAAUGGGCUAUACCCCGGUUGGUCAAGGUAUUCGUCGCGUCAACCAGAAACGAUUUUUUGGAAGAGAGAAGAUGUAUUCUGGAAAACGUGGGUCCAGAUCUACAGAACCUGUACGACUCAACUGGCUUAGAGGUAGAAUUCGUCGACAUGCAUUAUGGCAGUGAAUUGGAUCCUAUGAAAAAUCCGUUUUUAUUCGCAGAACAUUUGGAUGAAAUUAGAAAUUGCCGAAAAGUUUCCAGAGGAUGUUUCUUUUUGUGUUUAGUGGGCGACGAACACCAACCGUGCCCCGCGCCGGUGCGCAUAGCAGAGGACGCUUACGAACAACUGAAAGACGCGGCGCAGGAGCUGAACUUGGAGUGGUCGGCCGUGGAGGGCGCUUAUCAGCUAGACCCGUUGAACAACCACUACACUCUGCCGAAACCCGAUGACAAGGAUCAAGAACAAUUGCGUCAUUGGUUUGAAAAGAAUGAAAAAGCUUUAGUAGUAAUACAAGAAGCGUCGCAAGAACUAUUAAGCAGAGGUUUGAUUGUUGAUCCUCAAAUAUUUCAUUCAGCGGUUCAACAUCAAACUUUACACGCUCUAGACUUAGAUAAAGAUCACAUGGUCGUGUUCAAUAGGGAAUUCACUGGACGGCACAAUUAUGAAAGCGGUAUUGACGAGACGGUUUCAUCAUUCAAACAUUUCUUAAAGGACACUGUAUCAUCAGAUAAUCUAAUUGAAUUAAGUGUGGAAUGGAAACCUGGGGGUAUCGACGGUGAACAUCCUGAACAUGAUAUGUAUUUGACCAUAUUCCAAGAAGCAGUCAUGUCAAAAAUGCAAAGUAUGAUAAACACAAGCAUUGAACAGAAACCUGAGUUGAAUGCCAGGAACAAAACUAUACAGGAAGUGCUCAAGGAAGCUAUUGUGCACAUAGUUCACUGCAAAGAUAUGAUCAAGCUAAAUCCUCGGAAUCCUCGUUUUGACGCAGUCGCCAAAAUACGAAAAAUGAUGUCCACGACCACUAAACACGGUCCGAUCAUCAUACGUGGAGGUCUGGGAUCCGGAAAAACAUCAAUAAUCACCACCAUCUAUCAAGAAUGUGAAAAAUGGUUCGAUAAGAAACCAGUGAGAAUAGUGAGGUUUUCAGGUGUGACGCCAAGAGCUUCGUACAACCUGGAACUAUUGAGAAUCAUAUGCGAGCAGCUAACUUGUAUACUUCAGCCCAACGGGCUUUGCGUACCUUUAGAUGCCUCAUUCGAUCCGCUGUACAUCAGCGAUUGGUUUCAGACGCUGUUAAAACGAUUCGAAGACGAAUGCAGAUCGUCAACAUUGGUUUUGUUCAUCGAUGAUUUGCAUAGGUUAAACCCUUUGGACUCAGAUGUCGUUGCGGGUCUGUCCUGGUUACCGACAGUACUGCCAUUCAACGUACAUAUCGUAUGCACGACCUUGAACAUUCCUGAUGAAUUGAAAAUGACCCCAAUGCAGAAAGACCGUUUUAGAAAUUCUGAAUUUUAUGUUGAACUACCAGAUGCCAAUAUAGAGACAAUCAAAACAAAUAUUAACAAUAUGUUAGACAACUACGAACAAGCGUAUGGUUUAAAAGCUGUUACCAGGUUAGCUUCGUACAUAUCGGUAUCCGAAUUUGGUUUAACAGAAACCGAACUUCUUGAGUUGCUUAUGCCAACAACUGGUGAUUUUGGAACUCCUUUGAAGUUAGAAGAUGGAAAUUUUAAUUUUUCUACAUUUUGUACUGCUAAAAAAACUAUAAUGCCUCUCUUAUACGAAAAGUUCAUGAGCGGCCGCAUAUUAUUAUGUUGGAGACAUAAAAUUACAUUUGAUGUAGUUAGUCAAAGGUAUCUCACAUCAAAGAUACAUAAAAGAACGUUGCAUAUGGAAAUAGGUAACUUGUUUUUCAGUGAAUUUUCCAAAGACGAAUCGGAAUCCAAAACUGAUGGCUCGGUAAGUAAAGAUGGAGAAACUGUUAUACACAAUGACAUGACAUACAGUUUGAGACACGUCGAGGAAUCAUGGAUUCAUCUGCUCAAAGCUGGUGACCACAUCAGACUAAAAGAACUGACGUUGUGCAAUUUCGACUUUUUACUGGCGGCGGUACGUACUAUAUCCGUCAGUUACCUUCGGUCUAUCCUAGAGCACGCGCGAUGUUAUGUGUUAGACAGAGAUGUCGAAUUGGUGUACUACACAGUGAGGAAAUCGAGUGACGUACUCACGAGGGAUACUUUGCAACUCGGGGCACAAAUCAUUAGUUGGCUACGGCCCGUGGCAGACAGUAGUAAACUAAUGCACAGAAUCAUAAGAUGUUCGGUAUCGUGGUGCGAUGGUUUCACAGAUCCGUUAUUGGUGCCACACACAAGUUGGCUACAACCACCUUUGCCUCUUCACAUCAAAUGCGUCAACUGCGGUAUACCAAUCCGUCAUAUAGCUCCUACGCCUUCAGCGCAACACGUGGUUGUUAUUCCCAAAGAAGGCGACGCCCAACUUUGGCACACGAUGGGAAACGCGAGAGUGCAGACAUUCAAAGGACAUCAGAAACCCAUCAAGUGUUUGAACGUGAACAAAAACCCUCAGUUAUUAGUCACUGGUUCUGAAGACCGUAGCGUUCUAGUCUGGGAUCUAAACACAUACGCUUUAUUAGCGAAAUACAAUGACCUAGAAUCUCUUGUGUUAAGCCUUUGCGUGGCGACAAUCAACGACGGCGGCAACAAAGAACUUGGCGUGGUUUUGGGUUGCGAAAAUAGUAAAAUACUUCUGUUCACGUUAAAAGGGAAAAUGGUAAAAAAAAUUGACUACCACAAAGGACCCGUAACGGCAGUUCAACUGACAUCGCAAGACGUUCUCGUUACUGGUUCGUCAGACUGCACAGUGUGCCUCUGGGAAAUGGACACGCUCGACCUGCUCAACACCAUUGCUCUACCCGGACCCGUGGAAAUGUUGGACAUAUCUGUCGACUCGAUGUUCCUGUUGGUGCUAUGCGAAGGAAAUCAAUUGUGGCUACACGCGCUGGCGACGGGCACUCUCAUACACAACUUGAAAGGCUACUGUUCCAAAGUCAUGUCAAUCGCGUUGGCUGAGGACUGUCAGCGAGCAGUGGUAGCCGGAGUUGACUCCAGGGUGUAUAUCUACGAUAUACACUCAGGAGACUUAGACCUUGUGCCAAUAUCUACAGCACCACACCACAAAGAAGUGAUCGCCGUGAAAAUCACCAACAACGACGACUUCCUUGUCACGGCGGGUAACGGCAAGAUCGCUUACUGGAAUUUCCGGAAAAUGGGUAGCGCACACACGAUCAACAAACAAUCGUCGCCGUUGUCCCGAAAGCCACACACUAGCGCCAUCACCUGUUUGGACAUAUCGCGAGACGGCACAAUGGCUGUCACAGGUGGUCUGGAUAGUCUGGUUAACGUCUGGCAUCUGAACGUGGAGAGCUUAGAAAAUGUCUAUCAACUGAACAACAACGAGCUGCACUCCACUAUGCACGGCCACACAGCUGCUAUAACAUGUCUAGCCAUAGCUUCCAACGGACUUUUUGCCGUUUCCGGUUCAGAGGACAAACUUGUGUUGGUCUGGGGGCUAACGGUGGGCAAUGCCGUUUUCACGUUCAGCGGCCACCAAUCAGCCAUCACCGCCGUGGAGGUGACCUCAGACAGUGAAAAGGUCGUGUCCAGUGACAAGGCGGGCGUCAUAGCGGUCUGGCUAUCAGAUAAUGGGACGCUACUCAACUCGGUGAUAUGCCCGGCAACCAAUUUGUCAGUGACCAACAACAUGAAAUACCUGGUCAGCGGUGACGGCCAUUUUUCGUUACACAUCUGGCCGUUGUCCGUCAAGAACGAGGGAGGCCCUUGGACGGAAAAAUGGCCGGUCAGUCAUACGGAAGAGAUAACGUGUUUCGUAAUAACAUACGACUCGUUGCAAAUAAUCACCGGGUCCAAAGACAUGUCGUUGAAAGUGUGGCAAAUCAAUGGCGGUAAACUGUCACAGGUGUUGGUCGGUCACGAAGACCAAGUGACGUGUGUGGCCGUGGCCAUUAGUGACAAGUCGAUCGUUGUGUCCGGUUCAUGGGACGCCAACCUCAUCAUAUGGGACAUACAUACUGGCGAUGACAGACACCUGCUAACCGGUCAUCUAGGCCACGUGACGUGUGUCAAGCUGAGCGGUGAUGGUUCGGUGGCCCUGUCUGGGUCCGACGACAAGCGCAUAAUCGUGUGGGACACGAAACGCGGCGUCCCGCUCACGUCGCUGCAACUGCACCUCCCCAUUUUGGGCCUGUCUAUGUCCACGGACGUGACCCGGGUUGCGGUACAUCUGUACGAAAGCCAGUACUUGCCCAUCACACAACUGAUGAACACUCCCGCGCAGUACGUUAAGGUGCCGGUGUUCAUAAACCGAGAACACAGAUCGCUAGCCGCCAAGAAGCCCAUGAGGAGGAUGUUGAUCAAAGAAUACUCGUUGGACUCGUACACGUGGCAACGAAAGUACGCGCACUUGACCUCGUCGAUAACACGGGCAGCCGUCGACGAAAAGCUCCGCCGGUUUUCCGUUUCGGCCAGCAUGGAGGAAAUAUCGAAACAGGCCAAUAAUAACGAGAACAUGGGAUCACAGAAUCUGGGUCCCGAGCAAGCGGCUUUAGCGCAAUCGCAACACUUUGACCAAUUGAUCGCCGAAUGGAACAACAAACGGUCGCCUUCCAAAUCAACGAGCCGACCGAACGUGGUAAGUGCCUGCGAACAUCUUACCUAAUUCAAACAAAAGUUUUUAUCAAAACAGAAUUCGAGAUCGAGCAGACAGCAUUCGGCCGACGAAGAGAGUCAUGGCAGCGACGAUUUCAUAUGAUGAACCGACGUUUAUUGCUGCACAUUCGCCGAUCACGCCCUAGACAAAUCCUACUUCAUUCACCAUUGUUGCAACCUAAUUGUGAUCAAACAUUCAAUCAUUCUUCUUAUUAUUAGUAAUAUUAAUGUUUAAAGUUACGGAAACAUAAUCUUAAGUCUGUGCAAUAAUUAUAUACCUUAUUAUUUAAGUAAAUAGCAUGGUAUAGCUAUUGUUAAACAUUUUUAUCCUAGUCAUUUGAAGACCGUAGUCUAGUCUAAGAUUACUAGAUUAAGUAAAAUAUUUUGAGCACAAAAAAUAUCAGCAUCUGAGUGAUUUGUUUUUAUUAUUAUUAUUAUUAUAUUGCAUCAAAAUCAUACGUUUAUAUCUUAGACUUUCUGAAUGUAAAUCAUUAAUUAUAAUGGAAUCAUGGAACUAAUCAGAUUUACUAUACACUAAGUAACUAAAUAUUAAGCUCUUGUAGAAAUCAAAAUAUUAUAUUACGGUCAACCAAACAAAUCAUUGGAUUAUGUAUGUUAACCAAUUAAUUCUAAGGUGACAAUGUCAACUAAUUUCCGGACAACUCAAUUCUAUGAGAAAAAUAAUGGCAUAUCAGUUCCAGCCAAGGUUAUGUGUUUGUUACUAUAAUUUUACGGUUUAUUGAAUCAUGUCUGCCAGAAUUAAUAUUUGGGUAUCUUGGUUAACAUAAAUUCCAACUUUUAUCAACAUAAUUAAUCACUUCAUCAUUUAUAUUUUAACAAUAUUUUAGUCUUAAGAGGAUGUCAGUGCACAACCUAUUUGUCACAACCUAUUUAUCUCUGACCCAUCCACAACAUAGCAAAUUUGUGUUCUGCAGAACCAAUCUUGUAUUGUUACAAUGAAUAUUAAAGUAAAGUUAAUUAAUAGGUACCAAACUUUAAAUUAAGAACAUUGUAUGUGUUUGUACGUUUAGUUUGUAGCUUUUUUUUUUAACACUUGAAUUUUUAUAAAAGUUAUAAACAUGUAAAAUAUUACAGUUUUUAGUUUAAAAAUACUUAUGUUGCAGACAAAUUAAAAUAUAAAAACUCAAUAUACAAAUACAGAUAAUGUUCUUAACUUUAAGUAUGAUAAACGGUAAAUUCACUCUAAUAUUAAAACUAAUAAUACAAGAUUGGUUUUGCGGAACAUAGUGCAUUGACAUACUCUUAAUAAUAUUUCUAUGGUAGCUAUUUAUAAUUUAUUGAAAUGUUGAAACUUUUAAAAUAUCUGUGUUUUGUUUUAUGUUGUGUAUUGUAUUAGUCUACUCUUAUUAUUAUUGUUUUGAAUUGUAAGUGAACAAGAUAAAAGAAUAAACUUCAAAUGUACACAAA